rnacentral:rRNA from 1 species
AACGGUGAAAGAGAGCUUGCUCUCUGGAUCAGUGGCGAACGGGUGAGUAACACGUGAGCAAUCUGCCCCUGACUCUGGGAUAACAGUUGGAAACAGCUGCUAAUACCGGAUACGAGCUUCGAAGGCAUCUUCAGAAGCUGGAAAGAACUUCGGUCAGGGAUGAGCUCGCGGCCUAUCAGCUAGUUGGUGAGGUAAUGGCUCACCAAGGCGUCGACGGGUAGCCGGCCUGAGAGGGUGACCGGCCACACUGGGACUGAGACACGGCCCAGACUCCUACGGGAGGCAGCAGUGGGGAAUAUUGCACAAUGGGCGCAAGCCUGAUGCAGCAACGCCGCGUGAGGGACGACGGCCUUCGGGUUGUAAACCUCUUUUAGCAGGGAAGAAGCGAAAGUGACGGUACCUGCAGAAAAAGCGCCGGCUAACUACGUGCCAGCAGCCGCGGUAAUACGUAGGGCGCAAGCGUUAUCCGGAAUUAUUGGGCGUAAAGAGCUCGUAGGCGGUUUGUCGCGUCUGCUGUGAAAACUGGAGGCUCAACCUCCAGCCUGCAGUGGGUACGGGCAGACUAGAGUGCGGUAGGGGAGAUUGGAAUUCCUGGUGUAGCGGUGGAAUGCGCAGAUAUCAGGAGGAACACCGAUGGCGAAGGCAGAUCUCUGGGCCGUAACUGACGCUGAGGAGCGAAAGGGUGGGGAGCAAACAGGCUUAGAUACCCUGGUAGUCCACCCCGUAAACGUUGGGAACUAGUUGUGGGGUCCAUUCCACGGAUUCCGUGACGCAGCUAACGCAUUAAGUUCCCCGCCUGG